rnacentral:misc_RNA from 1 species
AACGCACAUUGCGCCCCUUGGUAUUCCGAGGGGCAUGCCUGUUCGAGCGUCAUUACAACCCUCAAGCUCUGCUUGGUAUUGGGCGCCGUCCUCACUGCGGACGCGCCUCAAAGACCUCGGCGGUGGCGUCUAGCCCUCAAGCGUAGUAGAAAACACCUCGCUUUGGAGCGGUUGGCGUCGCCCGCCGGACGAACCUUCUGAACCAUUUUUCUCAAGGUUGACCUCGGAUCAGGUAGGGAUACCCGCUGAACUUAA